GGGGGUGUUUUAGGGGUGCCUCUGAGGGCGCUGCGAGGGGCUACAGGGUUGUUCCUCCAGUGUGCAGCGGGCGGGCAUCGCGGCGGUCGCGCCGUUCUGCUGCCUCCUGCUAUUUAAACGUAUACAUUAUAACAUAGAGGAAGACGCACACAUGAAACGUUCGGUACCUCCAACGAACCACCGUAAAAAAAGAGAACGUUAAAAAGCAGAUUAUUCAUCGCAGAUAAAUGACCAGCGUAGAACAUCGAAUCGGAUAUUACAUGCGGUAGUUUUCGUCGGUGAUGAUAGAAAGGAGAGAAAAAUAAAACAAAUAAAUAAAUAAACGGAAAAACCGAUCGUCUGAAUAUAGCUACAACGAUUUGUAACGACCAUCGCAUUCGUAAUCAUCGUCAUCUUCGUUGCCGUUGUCACGAAAUAGUUGAUAGAAGAGGAAAUAAAAAGUCAUUCCAUAUAAAAACUAUUAAGCGACUGAGCGAAUGAUAUACGAUCGGCGGAGGCAAAUACUGUCCGCAAAAUCAAUUUCGCAGAAACUUGUUAUAUACUUCUUAAGGGUGGUCGUUUGAAGGAAAAAAAAAAAAUAUUUAGUGCGAGGAGGUAAGGGUGGUAAAAAAAAAAAAACGAAAGAAACCAGUGCGUGAUAAAAGAAUUAUAAAACGAACGAAUCA
rnacentral:misc_RNA from 1 species